rnacentral:sRNA from 2 species
GUAUGUCUGAAAAUGUGUUUCCCAACUGGCCUUGCAACACGGAGUCUUAUCUCCUUACAUAAAGAUUCCGUAGGUGUGAACUUUUUGUGCUUCAUCGUUUAUGAGAAUGGGAUUCAUCACACAUUCCAACACAUGCAUAAUUCCAAGGGAAAUUUUUCAAAUUGUUGGGGAUUUGGAUUGGUUCAUCCCCUCUACUCCCAGGAUAGCGCUGGUUGUGAUCGAGCUCUUUUGCCCCGGUGGUCUAACACAAGUUUUGUUAUAUAUAUAUAUGUGAAUUCGCCAGCAAAGAAAAUCACUGAAC